CCUCCCGAGAAGCGCUGCAACAGGGUCACCUGCCAGGCUCGGGAGUGGGAACAUGGGUAAUGAACGGCGCUUGGUUUUU
rnacentral:ncRNA from 1 species